CGCGUAGGUGGUUUGUUAAGUUGGAUGUGAAAGCCCCGGGCUCAACCUGGGAACUGCAUCCAAAACUGGCAAGCUAGAGUACGGUAGAGGGUGGUGGAAUUUCCUGUAUAGCGGUGAAAUGCGUAGAUAUAGGAAGGAACACCAGUGGCGAAGGCGACCACCUGGACUGAUACUGACACUGAGGUGCGAAAGCGUGGGGAGCAAACA
rnacentral:rRNA from 1 species